UCCCUGGUGGCUCAGUGGUUAGGACUUGGUACUUUCACUGCCAUGGCCUUGGUUCAAUACCUGGUUGGGGAA
rnacentral:tRNA from 1 species